UUCAGUAUAUCAACAAAACAAACAAUAAGACAAGAAAAAUCGAGGCAGUAGAUGUUUACCUCACAUUCAUAACAGGAAAGGGAAAAAGCCCAAAUAAAGGUCCAAGGCUUUAAGAUGAAGCUCAACAACCUAAAUGGAGAAAAACAUCAUCAGCUUUAGAUUUCACAGCUCUUUUAGAAAAUCGAAGAAAAAGAAUUAACUUUCAGUUUUCAAUUCCAAAUUCCACUUGCUCCCGAUUUUGCUUUUUGUUGUUGUCAUUUUCUGUUCUUUCUCAUGUGACAUUUUCUACAUUUGUGUGCAUUUUUUGGCGUGAGUGUGUGUUCCAUGAGUGAAUUCCAGUUGAGAGGGAGUGAAAUUUGAUGGUUUUUUCAGAGGACUCAGCGAUGGAGUGCUUUCUUCGGUUAGGGGUCUCCUCAAAAUGGGGAAAGGUUCUGAUGGAUUUUUUUACGUGUAUUUGUGUGUGGGUCUCUCUCUAGGUAUUAAGGGGUAUGGGCCUAAUGUUUUGAGUUUGG
rnacentral:lncRNA from 1 species